GGAGCGCGCGCUGCUCUCGCGUGCUCUCGCGCCGCUCGCGUGACCGGCCGGUGUGUGCGCGAGGCCCCGGCUCCCGGGGCACGGACGGCCGGGCGCGCGCCUCUGCGAGGGGCGUCCGGGUCCGAGUCGGCGGUCCGGGCCGGCGCGAGGUGCGUGCGGGCGGGCCGCGGGGGUCCCGGACGGACACAAGCGCACACACUCCCGGAGGAGCCUUCGAGGCUGCUCUUCCUCGGCCAGACGGAGAGCGGCACUGUCUCCCCGCCCAGCGCUCACUCGCCCCGCGUCUCCCCCCGCGGCGGCUGCUCCUCCUCGGCACCGCCAGCCCCAGCGCCGCUCCCGGGCGGGCGGGCGGCGGCGGCGGCGGCGGCGGGACCCGCGGAGCCGCUUUGUGUGCAGCCCGACUAGGGGCGGCGGCGCAACCACCUGACAGAGGCCCGGGCGCUCGAUGCACCUUCCGCCCGCAUGAGGAGGAGAGGCCGGUAGAGGACUGUGAACCAAAAGUUGUCCCCCAGGAUGGACUUCACCGCGCAGCCCAAGCCUGCCACUGCCCUCUGUGGCGUCGUGAGUGCCGACGGGAAGAUCGCUUACCCUCCGGGGGUAAAAGAGAUCACCGACAAGAUCACCACGGACGAGAUGAUCAAACGCCUGAAGACGGGAUAUCUUGCUGUGUUGCCUACCUCCUGAGCUUAAGGAAUCCUGCUGCCUCAGUCUUUCAAGUAGCUGAGACUACUGAUGGUAGUGAAAACCUUUAUGGAUAUGGAUCAGGACUCAGAAGAUGAAAAACAGCAGUAUCUCCCACUAGCCUUGCAUCUUGCAUCUGAAUUCUUCCUCAGGAACCCCAAUAAAGAUGUGCGUCUCCUUGUAGCAUGUUGUUUGGCUGAUAUCUUUCGUAUCUAUGCCCCAGAAGCUCCAUAUACUUCCCAUGAUAAACUUAAGGUAAAUACAGCCUUUUUCACUUUAUUGUAUUUUUCAUUCACCACUGUUCAGAAGGUAUACUUUUAUUUUUAUAUUUUACCUUUAUGAACAUAGGUUUCAUAUUAGUCUCUUCAUCUUAAGAAUAUAUUGUAAGUUGC
rnacentral:lncRNA from 1 species